GACGAACGCUGGCGGCGUGCUUAACACAUGCAAGUCGAACGGAAAGGCCCUGCUUUUGUGGGGUGCUCGAUUGGCGAACGGGUGAGUAACACGUGAGUAACCUGCCCUUGACUUUGGGGUAACUUCAGGAAACUGGGGCUCAUACCCGAUAUGAGCUCCUGCUGCAUGUUGGGGGUUGGACAAUUUCGGCGGUUGUGGAUGGACUCGCGGCUUAUCAGCUUGUUGGUGGGGUAGUGGCUUACCAAGGCUUUGACGGUUAGCCGGCCUUAGAGGGUGAACGGCCACAUUGGGACUGAGAGACGGACCAGACUCCUACGGGAGGCAGCAGUGGGGAAUAUUGCAGAAUGGGCGGAAGCCUGAUGCAGCAACGCCGCGUGCGGGAUGACGGCUUUCGGGUUGUAAACCGCUGUCGCCGGUGACGAAGCGUGAGUGACGGUAAUGGGUAAAGAAGCACCGGCUAACUACGUG
rnacentral:rRNA from 1 species